rnacentral:rRNA from 1 species
AACGAACGCUGGCGGCAUGCCUAACACAUGCAAGUCGAACGAGACCUUCGUGUCUAGUGGCGCACGGGUGCGUAACGCGUGGGAACCUGCCCUUAGGUUCGGAAUAACUCCCCUAAAGGGGUGCUAAUACCGGAUAAUGUCUUCGGACCAAAGAUUUAUCGCCUUUGGAUGGGCCCGCGUUGGAUUAGCUAGUUGGUAGGGUAAAAGCCUACCAAGGCGACGAUCCAUAGCUGGUCUGAGAGGAUGAUCAGCCACACUGGGACUGAGACACGGCCCAGAAUCCUACGGGAGGCAGCAGAGGGGAAUAUUGGACAAUGGGCGAAAGCCUGAACCAGCAAUGCCGCGUGAGUGAUGAAGGUCGUAGGGUUGUAAAGCUCUUUUACCCGGGAUGAUAAUGACAGUACCGGGAGAAUAAGCACCGGCUAACUCCGUG